AGGGUGUAAACGCUGCAGACUUGGUGUUGGAAAUCCUUCGAGGGUAUUCAGUGCCGGAGAGAAGUUGUUAAGUCUGCUACUUGGGGAGUACGUCCGCAAGGAUGAACUUAAGGAAUUGGCGGGGGAGCACCGCAACGGGAGGAGCGUGCGGUUUAAUUGGAUUCAACACCGGAAAACUCACCAGGGAGACUGUUACAUGAAACCCAGACUAAUGAUCUUGGUUGAUUUUUCAGAGAGGAGGUGCAUGGCGUCAGUGACU
rnacentral:rRNA from 1 species